rfam:Heligmosomoides polygyrus genome assembly, scaffold: HPBE_scaffold0001514
GCACCGGUGGUGUAAAGGCGUAGAGCAUUCCCGCCCGGUGAGAGGGAGGUGCGGGUUCGAGUCCCGCCUGGCGCU